UGGAUGCUCACAGUCAUCCAUUUGAUGGAG
rnacentral:piRNA from 1 species